rnacentral:misc_RNA from 1 species
GAAAUGCGAUAAUUAAUGUGAAUUGCAGAAUUCAGUGAAUCAUCGAGUCUUUGAACGCACAUUGCGCCCCCUGGUAUUCCGGGGGGCAUGCCUGUCCGAGCGUCAUUGCUGCCCUCAAGCACGGCUUGUGUGUUGGGCUUCCGUCCCUGGCAACGGAGACGGGCCCAAAAGGCAGUGGCGGCACCAUGUCUGGUCCUCGAGCGUAUGGGGCUUUGUCACCCGCUCCCGUAGGUCCAGCUGGCAGCUAGCCUCGCAACCAAUCUUUUUAACCAGGUUGACCUCGGAUCAGGUAGGGAUACCCGCUGAACUUAAGC